AUUUCUGUAUAUGCGCAGUGUGAAUGCAUGUGUCUUGAAAAGACAAAGGAAGAGAUAAGCUUAGCCACUGGCACCAGCACCACAACAACAUUGGGUACUAGACAGAUGGUCAACUAGAAUGAUAGAGAGGUUCACACAUAGGGGCAUAUUGAAUAAAACAAAUGUAUGAUUUUAUUGAACUGCUCCACUCCUGUCAAGCCACACUACACGUGCAAACUUUGUCUGCAUCUCACUUUUAUUAUAAUUUUUUUUAUUAUUAUAAGUUUUCUUUGGGAUCAAUCCUGAGCGAGGCUCCAAGGCAGAGAAGAAGGGGAAGAAACGGCACUUCAUUCCUCCACAGGUGUGCAAGCUGGUUUCUCAGCUGAAGGAAUUUGAAUGCAAGCAGAAGGAAUCUGAGUGGGCCAUUUGAGCUGUUCUCAAAGCUCAGAAAAUACCUUUUUGGACUGAAUGUACACACACACACACAGGCAAAUCCAAAAACAUGGGGCUUGGGAGUAGAAAUACAGAUUUUUACAGUAUUAUGUGAGUUCAGAUGUUUUAACUAGAUGCCCACAACACACAUGCUGCAGUUUCAAAUCCCCCAUGUUAAGGGGGAGGGAAGGUGGGCGAUAUUUGUCAUUCCAGGUAGAGCUUUGCCUGUCAAUGUGGAGUUGGAGGUGUAAGUUUUAAGUUUUAUUUUUUGCAGAAAUCUCUUUAUGGCAUGUUGCACAGAGUCAUCCUUCUAAGGUCAUGGUUGUUAUUGCUGCACUGAUGUUUUAUAGAAAAGUUGUAUAAUGUAAUACUUCUAAUGUUCUAUUUGUUUUUUGUAGAAAGGUCAGACACUGGUUGCAGAGCUCUGCCUGUCGGUGUGAUAUGUGGAGUUGGAGGUGUAGGUUUCUGCAUCCUCCUGGAGGGGGCUCCUCAUUUUGCACUGACAGGUGAGACAGCAACAGCAAUGCUGGCAGUUUUAUUGUCUUAUUUUGUCAAUGUCUUUAACAAAUCCAUUUGUUAUUAAUGCCUGUCAGCCUGUGGGUGCUAAAAAGUUGCUAGAUUUGGCAGCUCCCAGUUAAAGGACAUGGCUGUAGUUCUUUGAGAGAACAGCUGGUUUAUGUAUGUAAAAUUGCUCUGAAUGUGAAGGUGAUGUUCUGAAUGUUUUAAUGGUUGUAAUGUAAAUAUUGCAAUUCAUUCACCACAAAAAGUGCAAUCACUUUAAAGCACUGGCAGCUGUUAAAGGAAAUAAAUAAUUGUUGUGAUUCUA